rnacentral:rRNA from 1 species
UACGUAGGGGGCGAGCGUUGUCCGGAUUCAUUGGGCGUAAAGCGCGGGCAGGCGGCCCGCUCAGUCGGCCGUGAAAGCGCCGGGCUCAACUCGGCGAGGUCGGGCGAUACUGGCGGGCUCGAGGCUGGUAGAGGGCGGUGGAAUUCCGGGUGUAGUGGUGGAAUGCGUAGAGCUCCGGAGGAACACCAGUGGCGAAGGCGGCCGCCUGGGCCACGCCUGACGCUGAGCCGCGAAAGCGUGGGGAGCGAACAGG